UACGAAGGGGGCGAGCGUUGUUCGGAAUUACUGGGCGUAAAGCGCACGUAGGCGGGUUGUUAAGUCAGGGGGUGAAAUCCUGGAGCUCAACUCCAGAACUGCCUUUGAUACUGGCAACCUAGAGACUGGAAGAGGUUAGUGGAAUUCCCAGUGUAGAGGUGAAAUUCGUAGAUAUUGGGAAGAACACCAAGUGGCGAAGGCGGCUAACUGGUCCAGCACUGACGCUGAGGUGCGAAAGCG
rnacentral:rRNA from 1 species